rnacentral:rRNA from 1 species
AUUGAACGCUGGCGGCAGGCCUAACACAUGCAAGUCGAGCGGGGUUUUCGGACCUAGCGGCGGACGGGUGAGUAAUGCGUAGGAAGCUACCCGAUAGAGGGGGAUACCAGUUGGAAACGACUGUUAAUACCGCAUAAUGUCUACGGACCAAAGUGUGGGACCUUCGGGCCACAUGCUAUCGGAUGCGCCUGCGUGGGAUUAGCUAGUUGGUGGGGUAAUGGCUCACCAAGGCGACGAUCCCUAGCUGGUUUGAGAGGAUGAUCAGCCACACGGGAACUGAGACACGGUCCAGACUCCGACGGGAGGCAGCAGUGGGGAAUAUUGGACAAUGGGCGCAAGCCUGAUCCAGCCAUGCCGCGUGUGUGAAGAAGGCCUUCGGGUUGUAAAGCACUUUCAGUAGAGAGGAAGGGUGUUGUGUUAAUAGCACAGCAUUUUGACGUUACCUACAGAAGAAGCACCGGCUAACUCUGUGCCAGCCGCCGCAGUAACAC